CAUCGACCUGGUGGCCUUCUUGGGCUACAAAUAUGUCGGGUGAGUACCCCCGCCCUUCGUGUCAGCCCCAGCCCUUGGGCCUUGUCCUCACACAGCCUCCUCUCCCUCCCCCAGGAUGAUUGGCGGGGUCCUCAUGGGCCUGCUCUUCGGGAAGAUUGGCUACUACCUGGUGCUGGGCUGGUGCUGCGUGGCCAUCUUUGUGUUCAUGAUCCGGACCCUGCGGCUGAAGAUCUUGGCAGAGGCAGCAGCUGAGGGGGUCCCGGUGCGUGGGGCCCGGAACCAGCUGCGCAUGUACCUGACCAUGGCAGUGGCGGCGGCACAGCCUCUGCUCAUGUACUGGCUCACCUUCCACCU
rnacentral:sRNA from 1 species